GACAGAGGGGGCAAGCGUUGCUCGGAAUUACUGGGCGUAAAGGGCGCGUAGGCGGGAUGGCAAGUCGGUCGUGAAAUCCCUCGGCUCAACUGAGGAUCGUCGAUCGAUACUGCCGUUCUUGAGGAUUGCAGAGGAGACUGGAAUUCCCGGUGUAGCGGUGAAAUGUGUAGAGAUCGGGAGGAACACCAGUGGCGAAGGCGGCGACCUGGGCCAAUAUUGACGCUGAGGUGCGAAAGCGUGGGGAGCAAACAGGG
rnacentral:rRNA from 1 species